AUGCAUAGGAAUCUGCCUAGUAGUAUGGGAUAGCCACUAGAAAUGGUGGGUAAUACUGUAUAAUCCCUGCGGGGGAAAGAUUUAUCGCUACUGGAUGAGCCUAUGUUAGAUUAGCUAGUUGGUGGGGUAAUGGCCUACCAAGGCUGUGAUCUAUAGCUGGUCUGAGAGGAUGAUCAGCCACACUGGAACUGAGACACGGUCCAGACUCCUACGGGAGGCAGCAGUGGGGAAUAUUGGACAAUGGGCGCAAGCCUGAUCCAGCUAUGCCGCGUGAGUGAGGAAGGCCUUAGGGUUGUAAAACUCUUUCAGCAGGGAAGAUAAUGACGGUACCUGCAGAAGAAGUCCCGGCAAACUCCGUGCCAGCAGCCGCGGUAAUACGGAGGGGGCAAGCGUUGUUCGGAAUUAUUGGGCGUAAAGGGCAUGUAGGCGGUUUGGUAAGUUAAAGGUGAAAUGCCAGGGCUUAACCCUGGAGCUGC
rnacentral:rRNA from 1 species